AAGCCCCGCCCGCCGGCGCCGAGCCCCGCCCUGCGGCAAGGCGUUGGCCUUCGCGGCCCUGGCCGUCCUUGCGGCGCGGCCAGAUCCGUUGUUUUCCGCAGUUUCCAGCACAGCAGGCAGAUUAUGUAGACAUGGAUAACAAGUUCACACAGAAGAAUCCUAAAGAUACUGGGCCUAGCAAUUAUAAAGGUAAAAACAAACAAAAGAAACAAAAAAAGCACAACCCCAAACACCACCAAUCCCAACACGGAUCAGGGGCAUCUUCUUCUUCAGAUGAUCGGGUGUUUCCUUCUUCAUCUUCUUCAGAAAGUGAGACCGAUUCAAGCACUGAAGGUUGUUUAUCACUCUGUUAAAGUUUUUGUACUUAUGUUAGGUGAUUUGUAAAACAAUUAGAUUCAACUAGUAUCUAUUAUAGUGUACCCACCAUGUGCCAAACAUAAUGGGAAAUUUGGUGUCAUGCCUUCAGGCAAGGGAGCUCAAUUAUAUUGGGCAAUGAAAGCAAGUGAGUAGUCCAUCACCAUGUUAAUGAGUGCUAUGACUUGAUAUGCCAGUGUCAAGUAGACAAGGAAAGGCUUUGCAGAGGAAAUAAUAUCUAAAUUGAGAGGAAUCAGAGUAGCAAUUUUCCACAAGAAGUCAAGGAAGCGGAAUUAGGCUAAGGAAGUGUCCAUGUUAACCAACAUUGACAUUAGAGUUUCUGAUUCUUAAGUACUAUGCUUAUAUUUCUAUCUGUUAAUUUAUUAGUGACCUAAUCAGGAUUCUUGUUAGCAAGGAAAACUGGCCAAUUUAAAUAGGAGAAAAAUGAAUUGAAAAGAUAUUGAAUAAUUCACAGAAUUGCCAAGAAGCAUGAACUAUUUAUCUUUGUAGAUGGAUAGGAGCAAAGUGAAACUGGUAGCCAGUUUAAGUCCACAGAAUCUGGUAAAAAUGUGCAUUGCAGGCACUGAACCAGUGUUUCAAUUUUCAUUGUUACUUUAUGUCACUACUCUUGUCAUUGGUACUACUGGCCCUACACACUGAGUAUUUCUACCAUCACAGUCAGAAUGGAUUCUUCACUAACCCUACUCUUCGUGCCAUUAGCUCUCAGACAGUGAUAGGCUGAGCCUGGAUCACAUGCUAAUGUCCUAAUUGUAAAGGAAGCUGGAAUGGCAAACUUUGGCACUUCAACAUUCAUGGUAGAAAGCAUAUAGAGGGAUAUUUACCCAAUUUAGGAAGCAGAAUGAGACCCUGGGCAAUUAGAAUGUAGGAUAUAUUUAUUCAUUGUCAUACUUAACAUGGUAUUAAUUGACUAACUUACUUUAAAUUACUCUUGUUUCACCUACCUUUAUCACCGCAGUUUGCUAAUUUUAUUAGUUUUUCUAUGAGUUAAUAAAUAUUGUGCUUGUAACUCUUAUUCCAUCCAUUUUAAUCUAUUAUUUUACUGUUUUAUGUAGGAUAAGUAAAUUGGUAUCCUUAUUCUGUACACCAUCUUUUCUCCCCAUUGUCUUUUUCUACUUUUU